AUGGAUCCAAUCAACAACCUUCAAAUGCAUAUGAGCCAUGGAGGAUUUAAUACACCCAAAAAGAAUACAGACAUGCCUCUCUUUUCUUCGUCUUUUACACCUGAAUGUGAUGAGCAUUUGAAGCCUAAAGUGGGUAUGACAUUUGAAGGAGUAGAGGCAGUGGAGAAGUUCUACAAGGCAUAUGCACAUGAAUCAGGUUUUGGUGUUCGUAUCGGACAGCAGAAAAAGAUUGAGAAUAAGGUGGUCCGGACAAAGCGUUUCAUGUGUAAUAGGGAAGGAUUCAAGUCGAAAGAUUGCAAGGAGAUAGUCGUAAUUGUCCGAGCAAAAAAGGAAAUGGGAGUGUGA
rnacentral:rRNA from 1 species